UGGAAAAUGGCGGCCUCCAUGCCGCGUGGGUUGUUGGUCGGGUGGGUUACUAGAGUCCACCCGGUCUCGUGCUUUCUCUGGGCACCCGUAGCUGACGCCGGCAUCCACAAAAAUAGAUCAGGUAAAGCGGCAGAGUAAGGGAUACGAAGGCUUGGUUGGGCUCUGCGGUCCCUCUUUACCGGAUUGGAGGCUGCGAGGGUGAAAUCGAGCUUUAAACUCCCCUGGCCUCUGAACACCAUUUUAGCCUCCGAAGGAGGAGGACUUAUAAGAUUCUGUACUAAGGCAGCCGUAGGAAAAGAGGAGAACCAGGUCGACCCGUGAGCUCCAGGCUGCUCUUGCGCGCCCUCUGGUUUCGGAGGCGUCAGGUCCCAAGGUCUCCCACGUUCCUGGCUUUCGGAUUCCACUGGAGAGAGGAUGAAUAAAGAGGAAGCUGCAGCCUGUGAAGCAUCUAAUCCCUGCUCCCCUCUGAAACUGGGACAUGUUGGACCAAGCACUAUCCCCAUUUCAUGAAGAAACUGAGGCAGACAGAGAGAAGUGAAGUAGCUUACCAAAAUAGUAAAACUACAUUAUAAAUCAUAAACCCAAAUGCCACGCUCUAUUAUCCCAGUUUCCCAAAAGCUGGACCAGCCAUGACGGCACCUUCCAAUAAAAGGGGAACUCCAGAGAUGCUAUGAGAAAAGAGGAACAGACAUCUGCAAUAGAUAUCUGCAACUUCCUUUUCAAAAACAACAUCAACAUUGGUUUCUCAGGAAGCCACUGCCAGCCAAAUGUGAUAGCUGACACUGAGUUCCUGAAAUUCUCUAAUUAGGAUUCCAGAUUGGAGGGUCAGCCAGUGGUUAACAUGUAAUUAGCACAAAACUGAUUUUAUUGGAAGACUGAGGGUGAGCACUCACCAUAGUUCUAACCGUUAGAAAAUCCACAAAAACAUUACAAUUCUGUGUGUAUGAGUUUAGGAAAAAAUGAAAAUCCUGACAAAAUCCCAACCUAAAAAACAAUGUUAACACUUGCAAGUAGGAUGGGGAGGCAGAGAUGAAUUGGCAGCAUUAUCACUAUGGACUAUGUGAACUUAAAAUAAGAAAUGGGGUGGGGGUUGGGUAGUGGUGUUUUUAACAGAGCAGGAGUAGAGACGGAUGUCGUGGGAGCAGAAUGGAUGCCCAUGCUGCCUGGAGCCUGAAGCUGGAAGCUGAGGACUAAGAGGAUACAGGAGGGUGGGGACCUGUACCUUUUCCAAGAAACUGGUGCCCCAAAACUGGUAAGCUGGGGUAUGCAUUUAGCUCAUUCCUUUAGUCACCACCCAAUGAAAGAAAUGACUGAUGGCAGGACUUGAACAGUUCUCCAUAAAUGAGUUCCUGGGAGAGAACAGGUCUCCAGGCUCCACAAUACCCACCAAAUACACUGCCUUUAGCCCAUUUCAAACUGUACUUUUAUACAGAAUCCAACCCAACCAAACUCAGAGGUAAGGGUGAAGGUAGGCAAUGAACAGCUAUGAUCCUCCAUUCCUUGGCCAGGCAGGGAGCCUCUCCCUCCACUUCCAUGAAACUGCUUGUAACAGAAAUAAAAAAACCAACUCCAAGGCUCAGUAACCCACCCAAGGUCAGAACCACUGAGUGCAAAACCUGUGAGCCACAAAGGAGACUGAAAACCAGAAAGAGCUUCUCUCUAGUCUGCAUUAUUUUAAGAAAAACAUGCCCAUAGGGGCAAUGGGGAACCAAGGCUGUGGGACAACCUGGACUCAGCACACUCAUCUUCCUUUCAAAUUAAACAUCACCUUCCCAGGAGCAACAACAGCCUGGCCCAGCAGAUGAACUGGAAUCAAUCUAAGCUUUCCCCCUAUGCCAGGGGUGGUGUGGGGUAGGGAUUUGGGUCAGUUUGGGCACUUACACCUACUUAGUUUGGGCACCACAGGACCUGCUGUGAAGUCUACUGGCAUCUUCCAGGAAAGUCCUACCUCAUUAGUAAAAAGAAAAACAAAGACUUGCAAAGAAAGUUCCUGCUCUACCUGGUGAAUGCUGUUGUGUGAGGAUGUCAUGUUUGGAACAUGCCAGUCACCCUGUGACCACAAGAAGGCCAGGCAUACCACAAGAUGGUCAUUCCAGUGCUCUGAAUCAGCCCCAAACCACUUCCCUCAAAACUCAUGUUCUAAAGUGAUUAAAAGUGUGCUUUGAAGGUAAGACCCGUGACAGUCAACAUAUCAGUGACUGUCAGGAGUCAAGGGUAGAGGGAGGGAAGAACAGAUGGAGCACAGAGAAUUUUUAAGGCAGUGAAAAUGUUCUGUAUGAUGCUAUAAUGAAUACAUGCCAUCGUAUACUUGUCCAAACCCACAGAAUGUACACCACCAAGAGUGAACCCUAGAGUAAACUAUGGACUUUGGGUGAUUAUGAUGUGUUAAUGCAGGUUCGUCAGUUGCAACAAAUGUACCAUUCUAGUGGGGGAUGUUGAUAAUAGAAGGCUAUGCAUGUGUGAGACCAGGGGAUAUAUGGAAAAUCUCUGUAUUUGCCUCUCAAGUUUGCUGAUAAUCUAAAACUGCUCUUAAAAAUAAAGUCUUACCAAAACAA